rnacentral:lncRNA from 1 species
GAUACAAUUAAUGUGAGUACAAGGAAAUUAGAAAGCAAAUUACCAAGAAUCCAUACUAAUUUUGUCCUGAAUUAUGAGCAGAGUGGGAGCAAGAGAAACUCCAUCUUUAUUUGGAACAAAAUAUUUGGAAACUGGUGUCAAGCCGUAUAAUCUCUGAACACUUCCGUCUUUGUUCGAGACAAGAUUACAUGUGAGAAAAGAGUAACUGGCUAGGAGGCGUAACAUUCUGUCCAGUAUUAUUGGGACUUUUUUGUUAUUUGUGGGCAGCUCAGAGGCAAUCUCUGAAGACGAGAGUUGAGUUGGGCUAACUUUCGCCAUUAUCUCCAACAAACCAAGCUCAGUGGCAGAUUUAAUGGUCAUUGGAAGUACUGCGCCGGAAGCGAGUUCCAUGGCCAACAAGAAGUCUUGCUCAUCCCUUGCUGGUUUCAACAUGACUUGGUGAUCAUCUUGGAGUGAACCCAUCUUCUUAGGCUAAUUAGAAUAUAAUGGAGAAACUAACAAGGUGCUGUAUGGAUGCUGAAGAGUAGUGCUUAGUUUAUGGAACGCUAAACCUUUAUAUAGUGUGUGUGUGUGUGGAAAUUGCUAACAUUAAUUAAUAUUCUGUUAUUAACAUACGUCCAAGCAUGUCUCAAAGGGACAAGGUGGGAGGGCUAUCUCAGCUAAUAAAGAAAUUUUGACCGAGCAGCCCCAACCAUAAACAGAAAUCAUCACGUGUUCAAAUUGAGUAAGUUACAUGUUUGAAAGGCAUGGGUGCUAAUAAUGUUCCAAGUAAAUAGGUUAUUGCUCCAUGGGAUUAAACACAUAAUCAUAAAUGUGAGAAUGUCCCAUGACUAAUAUAUAUAUAAUCAUUAUCAGGUCCGAGAUCCAUGUUCUUUUUAACAUAGAAAUGCUUUUAAACUGUGAGGUUCAAGAAAUUUAGUUUUUGAAUGAACAUAAAGUCUUGGAGUUUAAUAGAGUUAAAAACUAACUCUCUCAAAUGUUAUGGUUAAAAAGCAUGUCCGUAUGAAAAAAAUAAUAAUAAUAAAGGCACCCGCACUAGAAAAGGAGUCAUAUAUAUAUAAGGUGUGGGUGCCCUUAUUUUUUAUUUUUAAUACGAAUAAACUGUUAAGUCGUGCAACUAAAUUGAUUUAUUUUUUAAGCACUAUAAAGUCGUGCAGCUUAAUAGUAUUAAAAUUUGAUUAUAUUAAAUUGCAUGACUUGAAAGUGUGUCUGUAUAAAAAAAAAUGAGGGCACCUGCAACGCUCCCCUUUUUUUUUCACGUGUAAACAUUAUAAAGUCAUAUGAUUUUACAGUUAAUUAAAUAGUAACUUUAUUAAACCACAUGUUUUAAUAGUAUAUUAAAUACUGAUUUUAUUAAAUCAUAUGCCUUAAGAGCAUGUCCGUAUAAGAAAAAAAUGGGGCCAGCCUAUGAGAUAGAAGGACUGUAUAUAUAGUCUUUUAAUAAUCUUAAGUAUUUAAAUACAUUUGGAAUGGUGCUGCUUAAAUUCCUUGAUCGAUGAUACGUACAGGUAGGAGCUGAUUGUUUAUUAAUUCCUUGUACCAUUUAUUGUAAUCGCAUCUUCAUGAGAUGGCGUUCGAGUUUUUUUAACAAAAUGAUGAAAUAUCUAAAAUUUCUAAAAGUAAUUUGAAAAUGAAAUUUAAAUAUCUAAAUGAUGGAAUUUGGCAAACCUGCGACGAAUAUCACCAUCAUGUAGGCUGUGAAUAUGUGAAGGACACUUUUCUCACUCUUAGAAGCUAUAUUUACCACUUUGUCAUAACCUUUAAAUACCAUAUAUUAUUUAUUGUGUUGAAUGAAACAUUAAAAAAAGUAAGACAACAUACAAGAAAAAUAUGAUAUUUUUACAGACAAAUAGAUUGGCAUCUCUACAAAUUCGAAUUUAUUAUUUCCAGCAAAUUCAUGAUAAAAGUCGAGUGCAAAUUAAUUGACUGUAACAUUGAUCAUACAAGUCAAGUACGAAUUGCCUACUACUGACUGGAGUCCAAAAACGUUGCUUUGUGUAAAGCACUGUUGGAUGGCGAAAUAUCCCCCUUUCCUACAUUUCCAGGAAAGAGCAAGGACUCUUAUUUAGAAGCCCCCAAGUCGGACUCUCUGUCAAAAUCUCACGUUUAGUUUUUUUUUCUUAAGUUCCCUUUAAUUUAGCUGAAUCCACUUGCUAGCUUAUAUAUACUCAAAAGCUAGUUUAUAUAUUGAGGGUUGCCUCAAACUUUUAUUCUCAGUCAUUAACUACUGAAGGACUAAAUUCUCAUGAUGUCAAAUUUGACAUCAUAACUGGCUAGCAUUUCCUCUUUUAGAAUCUACGACAUUGCGUGAUGAGUGAAAAUGAAACCAAUUAAAGUCACCAAGAUUGAAUAAGGUUUUCAAAAUGGAAUUAUAAAAAUAGGCAGACGGGAAUGCACACAACUAGCUACCUAAUACUGUUGGUCAAACACUAAUAAGAGAAAAAAUUAAAUAUUAGUAUUAGUAAUAUUUCAACUUGCGGAAUGCGGACAAUACUAACUGAUUAAUUUUACCAUAAUAAAUAACAAUCAACUGCCACAAUCUUCUUUUUAAUAUUUUAUCAUCAAAUCUUAUAUGUAUUGAUUAUUGAUUUAUAGUUCAUUAGUGUAAGUGGCUUUUUUGUUAUUUGUGGGCAGCUGAGAGGCAAUCUCUGAAGACGAGAGUUGAGUUGGGCUAACUUUCGCCAUUAUCUCCAACAAACCAAGCUCAGUGGCAGAUUUAAUGGUCAUCGGAAGUACUGCGCCGGAAGCGAGUUCCAUGGCCAACAAGAAGUCUUGCUCAUCCCUUGCUGGUUUCAACAUGACUUGGUGAUCAUCUUGGAGUGAACCCAUCUUCUUAGGCUAAUUAGGAUAUAAUGGAGAAACUAACAAGGUGCUGUAUGGAUGCUGAAGAGUAGUGCUU